AGAGUUUGAUCAUGGCUCAGGACGAACGCUGGCGGCGUGCUUAAUACAUGCAAGUCGAGCGGGGUUACUGCGACAGAUCCCUUCGGGGUGACGUUGCUUUAACCUAGCGGCGGACGGGUGAGUAACGCGUGGGUAACCUACCCUAAAGCUCGGGAUAACAGUGGGAAACCGCUGCUAAUACCGGAUGACUUUAACCUAUGGCAUCAUGGGUUAAAGAAAGAUUUAUCGCUUUAGGAUGGGCCCGCGUCCCAUUAGCUAGUUGGUGAGGUAACGGCUCACCAAGGCGACGAUGGGUAGCCGGCCUGAGAAGGUGUACGGCCACACUGGGACUGAGACACGGCCCAGACUCCUACGGGAGGCAGCAGUAGGGAAUAUUGCGCAAUGGACGGAAGUCUGACGCAGCGACGCCGCGUGAGCGAUGAAGGCCUUCGGGUCGUAAAGCUCUGUCCUUGGGGAAGAAGGUCUUCGGACUUGACGGUACCCAAGAAGAAAGCCCCGGCUAACUACGUGCCAGCAGCCGCGGUAAUACGUAGGGGGCGAGCGUUGUCCGGAAUUACUGGGCGUAAAGGGUGCGUAGGCGGCCCUUUAAGUCAGAUGUGGAAGGCCACGGCUUAACCGUGGGAUUGCAUUUGAAACUGGAGGGCUUGAGUGUCGGAGAGGGUAGUGGAAUUCCCAGUGUAGCGGUGAAAUGCGUAGAUAUUGGGAGGAACACCAGUGGCGAAGGCGACUACCUGGACGAUAACUGACGCUGAGGCACGAAAGCUAGGGGAGCAAACAGGAUUAGAUACCCUGGUAGUCCUAGCCGUAAACGAUG
rnacentral:rRNA from 1 species